rnacentral:rRNA from 1 species
AUUGAACGCUGGCGGCAGGCCUAACACAUGCAAGUCGAGCGGAGCGGCGGACGGGUGAGUAAUGCCUAGGAAUCUGCCUGGUAGUGGGGGAUAAAGUCCGGAAACGGGCGCUAAUACCGCAUACUAGCAGAUGAGCCUAGGUCGGAUUAGCUCGUUGGUGGGGUAAAGGCCUACCAAGGCGACGAUCCGUACCUGGUCUGAGCGGAUGAUCAGUCACACGGGAACUGGGACACGGUCCAUACUCCUACGGGGGGCAGCAUUGGGGAAUAUUGGACAUUGGGCGAAAGCCUAAUCCAGCCAUGCCGCGUGUGUGAAAAAGGUCUUCGGAUUGUAAAGCACGUUAAGUUGGGAGGCGUUACCAACAGAAUAAGCACCGGCUAACUUCGUGCCAGCAGCCGCGGUAAUAC